UGAUGUGUUGUGCUUCACAAUCUGAGGCAAUAAGGGCAGGUGGAGAGAUGGAGGGUCUCAUAAGGGCAGGUGUGGUGAUGGAGGGUCUCAUAAGGGCAGGUGGAGUGAUGGAGGGUCUCAUCCAUGGCACCAUUUCCAGGAUUCAGCUCUGUGCUCUCCAUCCUCAGUGCUCACACCAGUCUGCUGACAUUUCAGAUCCUACAAAAAUGCACAAACAUAACACAAAAGCAGUCAUUUUAACAGCACAAUGUCAUUUGAUUUCA